AACGAACGCUGGCGGCAUGCCUAACACAUGCAAGUCGAACGAGACCUUCGGGUCUAGUGGCGCACGGGUGCGUAACGCGUGGGAACCUGCCUUUAGGUUCGGAAUAACUCAGAGAAAUUUGAGCUAAAUACCGGAUAAUGUCUUCGGACCAAAGAUUUAUCGCCUUUAGAUGGGCCCGCGUUGGAUUAGCUAGUUGGUGGGGUAAAGGCCUACCAAGGCGACGAUCCAUAGCUGGUCUGAGAGGAUGAUCAGCCACACUGGGACUGAGACACGGCCCAGACUCCUACGGGAGGCAGCAGUGGGGAAUAUUGGACAAUGGGCGAAAGCCUGAUCCAGCAAUGCCGCGUGAGUGAUGAAGGCCUUAGGGUUGUAAAGCUCUUUUACCCGAGAUGAUAAUGACAGUAUCGGGAGAAUAAGCCCCGGCUAACUCCGUGCCAGCAG
rnacentral:rRNA from 1 species